ACACAGGUAGUCGAGGAGAGUAUCCUAAGGUGAGCGAGCGAACUCUCGUUAAGGAACUCGGCAAAAUGACCCCGUAACUUCGGGAGAAGGGGUGCUGACUUCGGUCAGCCGCAGUGAAUAGGCCCAAGCGACUGUUUAUCAAAAACACAGGUCUCUGCAAAAUCGUAAGAUGAAGUAUAGGGGCUGACGCCUGCCCGGUGCUGGAAGGUUAAGAGGAUGGGUUAGCUUCGGCGAAGCUCAGAAUUGAAGCCCCAGUAAACGGCGGCCGUAACUAUAACGGUCCUAAGGUAGCGAAAUUCCUUGUCGGGUAAGUUCCGACCCGCACGAAAGGCGUAACGAUUUGGGCACUGUCUCAACGAGAGACUCGGUGAAAUUUUAGUACCUGUGAAGAUGCAGGUUACCCGCGACAGGACGGAAAGACCCCAUGGAGCUUUACUGUAGUUUGAUAUUGAGUGUUUGUACCACAUGUACAGGAUAGGUAGGAGCCGAUGAGACCGGAACGCUAGUUUCGGAGGAGGCGCUGGUGGGAUACUACCCUUGUGUUAUGAACCCUCUAACCCGCACCACUAAUCGUGGUGGGAGACAGUGUCAGAUGGGCAGUUUGA
rnacentral:rRNA from 1 species